rnacentral:rRNA from 1 species
AGAUUGAACGCUGGCGGCAGGCCUAACACAUGCAAGUCGAGCGGCAGCACGGGUACUUGUACCUGGUGGCGAGCGGCGGACGGGUGAGUAAUGCCUAGGAAUCUGCCUGAUAGUGGGGGAUAACGUUCGGAAACGGACGCUAAUACCGCAUACGUCCUACGGGAGAAAGUGGGGGAUCGUUCGGACCUCACGCUAUCAGAUGAGCCUAGGUCGGAUUAGCUAGUUGGUAGGGUAAAGGCCUACCGAAGGCUACGAUCCGUAACUGGUCUGAGAGGAUGAUCAGUCACACUAGGAACUGAGACACGGUACCAGUACCUCCGUACGGGAGGCAGCGAGGUGGGAAUAGUUAGGACUAAAGUACGGGGGAAACCCUGACUCC